rnacentral:rRNA from 1 species
ACUCCUACGGGAGGCAGCAGUGGGGAAUUUUGGACAAUGGGCGAAAGCCUGAUCCAGCCAUGCCGCGUGCAGGAUGAAGGCCUUCGGGUUGUAAACUGCUUUUGUACGGAACGAAAAGACUCUGGUUAAUACCUGGGGUCCAUGACGGUACCGUAAGAAUAAGCGCCGGCUAACUACGUGCCAGCAGCCGCGGUAAUACGUAGGGUGCAAGCGUUAAUCGGAAUUACUGGGCGUAAAGCGUGCGCAGGCGGUUAUAUAAGACAGAUGUGAAAUCCCCGGGCUCAACCUGGGAACUGCAUUUGUGACUGUAUAGCUAGAGUACGGUAGAGGGGGAUGGAAUUCCGCGUGUGGCAGUGAAAUGCGUAGAUAUGCGGAGGAACACCGAUGGCGAAGGCAAUCCCCUGGACCUGUACUGACGCUCAUGCACGAAAGCGUGGGGAGCAAACAGGAUUAGAUACCCUG